rnacentral:rRNA from 1 species
GACAAUAAAUACCUUACAGAGGUCUCGUUAACCGAGAUCUCUCAAACGGAAUGAGUACAACGUGAAUCCUUUAACGAGGAUCGACUGGAGGGCAAGCCUGGUGCCAGCAGCCGCGGUAAUUCCAGCUCCAGUAGCGUAUAUUAAAGCUGUUGCGGUUAAAAAGCUCGUAGUUGGAUAUCAGUGUGUGUUCAGCACGACAUGCCCGGUGAUGGCGUUCUCGCGUGACGUCCGGGCUCCCAAAUGUCGUCUGGCUACAUUCAAUGGCGUCGGACNNNUCGGCGNGCCGUACUUCGGUGGGGCCUGCCGGCGACCGGCGGUGUUACCUUGAACAAAUUAGAGUGCUCAAAGCAGGCUCUCAAUGCCUGUAUACAUAUUCAUGGAAUUGGAGAAUACGUCCCUGGCUCGAUUUGGUUGGUUU